UGUGUCACAAGCUGCCUGGGAGUCACGGCUGACUGUGGAUCGGGGGGAGGGGGCACAGGGCCCCUCUGGCUUCCCCAGGGGUCCCGCCCUGGAGGCCCUGCCAAGGGGAAGUGCCCAGCGGGAACAGGGGGCUGAGUGCUCCCAGGUCAGUCCCAGGAAGGCCAUAGGCGGAAAGGCUCCUUGCCCUGGGGGUGUCCCAGUGCCCAAGUCCUGGCUGGCUUCAUACAGAGCAGUUCCAGGCCUGAGUCUGUGACAGGGGGUCCCCAAGGCACGGGGCACUAACCACGAGCAGGCGGUGGGCUGGCAGCGGUGCUGGAUGAGGGAUCUGGAGCAGUGGGGGGUACCAGGGCACUGACCUUCAGCAGCGGGGCAGUGGGCUGCCAGCAGUGGGGGAGGGAGCAGGAGCAGUGGGGGGUACCAGGGCACUGACCUUCAGCAGCGGGGCGGUGGGCUGCCAGCUGCCGG